rnacentral:rRNA from 1 species
AGAGUUUGAUCCUGGCUCAGGAUGAACGCUGGCGGCGCGCUUAAGACAUGCAAGUCGAACGGAGAUACCCGGUAGAUUUAUCUUCUGGAAUAUCUUAGUGGCGGACGGGUGAGUAACACGUGAGCAACCUGCCUUCAAGAGGGGGAUAACAGAGAGAAAUUUCUGCUAAUACCGCAUAAGACCACAACACCGAGUGAUGAAGGGGUCAAAGGAGUAAUCCGCUUGAAGAUGGGCUCGCGGCUGAUUAGCUAGUUGGAGUGGUAACGGCACACCAAGGCGACGAUCAGUAGCCGAACUGAGAGGUUGAUCGGCCACAUUGGGACUGAGACACGGCCCAGACUCCUACGGGAGGCAGCAGUCGGGAAUAUUGCGCAAUGGGGGAAACCCUGACGCAGCGACGCCGCGUAAAGGAAGAAGGUCUUCGGAUUGUAAACUUUUGUCGACAGGGAAGAAAAAUGACAGUACCUGUGGAGGAAGCCCCGGCUAACUACGUGCCAGCAGCCGCGGUAAUACGUAGGGGGCGAGCGUUGUCCGGAUUUACUGGGUGUAAAGGGUGUGUAGGCGGGAUUGCAAGUCAGAUGUGAAAACUAUGGGCUCAACUCAUAGCCUGCAUUUGAAACUGUGAUUCUUGAGGGUCGGAGAGGUAACUGGAAUUCCUGGUGUAGCGGUGAAAUGCGUAGAUAUCAGGAGGAACACCGGUGGCGAAGGCGGGUUACUGGACGAUUACUGACGCUGAGACACGAAAGCGUGGGGAGCAAACAGGAUUAGAUACCCUGGUAGUCCACGCUGUAAACGACGAAUGCUAGGUGUGGGGGUGCAAAUUUCCGUGCCGCAGUUAACACAAUAAGCAUUCCACCUGGGGAGUACGGCCGCAAGGCUGAAACUCAAAGGAAUUGACGGGGGCCCGCACAAGCAGUGGAUUAUGUGGUUUAAUUCGACGCAACGCGAAGAACCUUACCAGGACUUGACAUCCAACUAACGAAGUAGAGAUACAUUAGGUGCCCUUCGGGGAAAGUUGAGACAGGUGGUGCAUGGUUGUCGUCAGCUCGUGUCGUGAGAUGUUGGGUUAAGUCCCGCAACGAGCGCAACCCCUAUUGUUAGUUGCUACGCAAGAGCACUCUAGCGAGACUGCCGUUGACAAAACGGAGGAAGGCGGGGACGACGUCAAAUCAUCAUGCCCCUUAUGUCCUGGGCUACACACGUAAUACAAUGGCCGUCAACAAUGGGAAGCAAAGCCGCGAGGUGGAGCAAAUCCCCAAAAACGGUCUCAGUUCGGAUUGCAGGCUGCAACUCGCCUGCAUGAAGCUGGAAUUGCUAGUAAUCGUGGAUCAGCAUGCCACGGUGAAUACGUUCCCGGGCCUUGCACUCACCGCCCGUCA